CUCAAUCAGUCUUUGAUGGACUCGGAUUUCCUUCACAACAUAAACACUUCCCAUACAACGGCUGGAACAACUGCAGCAAGCUCAGCCCCGUGAAAAUCUUCCAGCAUCAACGACGAAUAAACGAUUCCUCAUAAAAGCAAACCAUAACCCGUCCUUUAGCGUGCUGCCUUUCCGUCGAAUCACUUCUUUUCUUCUAUUGCGUUUGUCGGGCUAGCGAAUACCAGACGGUAGCGUAAAAACAAAAUCGGCAAUGGGCUAUAACUCGAACAUGGCUUUGCAUCGGCGGGUGUAGAAAACGGCUCUUCCUACAAUCGAUCCGAGCUUACCAUAUUCACACUGUGAAACUGAAAUGCCCGACAUUAGCUAGCAACGAGAUCGGCGUUUUGAGUUGAGCGCCUUCAUUUUCAUACCGACACUUGCCUUCUUCAGUCAGCCAGCCAGCCACUAACAAACGAUCUAAACCCGCACUUCUGGCCACCGACAUCUCCUGAACUGCUCCUCACUUCAACUGGUGUUGCCGCACUUCGAAGAUGUGCACAGACUAUUUUCGAUUUAUGAUGUCCAUACAAUACCUGUACACGUACACAUGAGCACACACUAAUAAAGCCUCAUUCGUUUCAGAAUUUACGCAUACUUGGGGCAGAACUAGUUCUGUAUGAUUAUGGCGUGGUACCCAGAAGAUCGUAGAAGUGGAUUAAAAAUAGAGAUAACCGUUCUCGGGUUUUUGGUCUAGUUCCAGUGUCGUUCUAUUUUUUUCCGCUUAUUUUUUAAAACCACAACAGCCACCACGAAGCACAAAAAAGCAGGAACCUUUUCUGUCAGACUUCCGUUGCCAGAUUAGACUCUAAAACCCUACGAUGUACGUAUUUUUCCUGCGUUGUUUUCUUUCUGCCUCACUAAGUUGUAACCAAAUAUAUGUGGUUUUGUGUAGGCUUGUGCGCGGAAGUACAUCAUACGCGACGAACAGCAAGUUUUCUAAACAAGCUCGUUUCUUUUCCUAAACUCACUAGCAGCUCCCGCAUAACACAGGGCCUACUUCUCUGUGGCUUCGUGGGCCGUCGUUGGUGUCGGCCGGGCCUACGGUUUCUAUCUGUCUGACGACGGCCUGGGUUUCCUCCACCUAUUGCAGCUGGAACAGUCGUAGCAGCCGCUUACUCUCCUCGCCAGAGCGCCUCCUUCAUCGCAGCCACUAGCGCCGCUCGACGGCGGUGGCAGUGGCCGCACUGUUGUCGUCGUCGUCGCCGCGAGAACAAGCACCAGCAGGAGUAGCAUGCUCUUAGGUCCCAAUCCCUGUCCGCUCACUGCUAAGCGGCGCGCGAUGUUGUGACUGUCCUCGCGCUCCACAAACGCGUUGGUCCGCCGAGAGCCUAUGCAGCCUGUCCAGCCUAUGGACUGAUAUGUCUUACCCUUUCUUUAGCAACUCUCAUGACAGGCUUGGCUCCUCUGGUCCGAUAGACCGGAAGACAAGAUUACAGGAUUAUUGGCCUAAUCCGUGUCGAAUGGCCUGUUUCGAGUCGAGUUUGAGGAAAAGGAUAGUGAUCUGGCGAAAAAGGAGGUGAAUGGCAAACGAAACAGGCAGAAUAUUCUGCGGACAAACCCUGUGGAAUGCUUCACCGACUUGCGGCAAAAAUACGUUCGAAUGAACGCGCGCAAGCAUGUCUUUUCCGCAGGCCUGUUGUGGCUAGCCCCCUUCACCAACCCUUCUCCUUCUGUGGGGUGCCUCAAACUUUGCCGCCGCAGAGCCUACUGGGUCCAGGGAGCUCCACGGAUCGACCGAACUGCACUCGCAUUAUAACACCGGACAGAGUGGGAGCUUCGUAUGGGAAGUGAGGUUUGAUUCGAUCGUAGCCGCCAGCAUUAGGAGUUGGUUCAGUGCUUAGUACAACACUUUUUGAAUUAGCCCGCCUGGGCGCACACAGACGGUGUGCGAGAGAGAAAAUAGGCCAGGUCGAAGCAAGACGACUGCGUCAACAACAGCCGCAGCAGCGCAGGGCGGCUACGACCAGAACGCGGACGCCGCGAAACUAAAAGCACAGCAGUGGGAUGGCCAGGUGGGCGGUGCUACUCGAUCGCUGAUUGGCGCUCUGGCAGUUGAUGGUGCUUGUUUUUUUGUCUAUAUGCCCGAAAUCGCUAUCGAUAAAUUUGUGGUACUGCAGUUGUUUUCGGCCCUAGAUAUCGGGAUCUGAUCAAUUUGUCAGUGAUGCUUACUGAACGGUAUCAGGCAGCGAGUCAACGCGAGUCGAUCAGCAAGCGUCGCAAUUAUAAGUAAAUUUGCAAGAAAAGUAAUAAAUAGAAUUAAACCCGAUUCAUGUGGUUUAAUUACGGUCCCGGUACUUAUUGUAGUGUGUGGCAUUUCUAAAUUCUAUUGGCAAGUGAAUGCUCUGCCGCCACGGGUGUAUCGGAGCCAGAAGUGAGAUUUAGGUUUCUGACUUUAAAUUACAAACCUUAAGUUGAGUACAAGUUAGUUCGUGAUGACGUGCUCAAAUUGUGAACGUCUCCGUAAAGAGAUGGAAGAAAUGAAGGAAUCGAUGCAGCUGAGAGAGUUCGAGCUUGAGGAAAAGCUUAACCAUUUAGAGGAUACAGUUGAAUGGGCGAACGAGGAUAAAGGAAAUUUGAAAGCGGAAUUAGAGGAGACGAUCAAAGAACUCAAAAAGUACAAAGACAUAAUUGCUAACCUCGGACACGGCGAGCCAUCAGGAGAAAAAUCUGAGGAUUUGGCAUCUUCCAAAACGCUCAUACCUUCGCAGUUGAAGAAAGAGGCCGUCCCGCGCCUCCUCGAAAUCAUUAGAAUACAAUCAGAACUAAUGAAAGAGAUGAAGGAUCUCAUAACUGCCAGUGGUUCAGAGGUAGCAGAGGUGGCUGCGACCGCCUAGAAUGCAUUUUUCGUGGUAACAGAUGCGAGAAAAACGAUAGAAGCGCCUAACGUGGCGUGGAAUAGCUGUUAAGCAUAAGAUCUGCAUAGGGCAGUGGUGGCGUCACAUUAAUGGCCGUUAAAAAAAUUAUGACAACGAUUGAAUAAGCUGUUAUUGUAAACUAUACGUACGUAGGCAUGGAGGGUGCGUUGAGACCACUUAGUCAUCUUCCGGCAUCAACUGGCUUCUAAACAAUCUUUAAGGGGACGUGGUGGCCUUUGGGCUUAGAAAUUGCUGGGUUGAUCUCUAACGGAAGACGAAAUCGGGUUGUGAGAGAGCUGAACGAUCAACCUGUUAACAUGUUAACGCUUUCUCUAGACACUGUUGCUUUCUUUCCGAAUAAGAAAAGGCGUUUGGAUAAACAGGCAAAGGGAGAGCUUCGGCCCAAAUGAGAAAAAAUAAAAACAAGCGAGUGUAAAGAAAGCUCCAUCUGAUGAUGAAAUUCCUAAAAAAUAUUAAUUUUUCCUUUGAUAGAAGUUUUGAGUAAAAUCGUUAUGACCAACUGCAAAGCAGAUCAAUUGCAGUCAAAGCAGAAUUAUUUUCCGAAGCUUUUCACGCAAAUCCACGAAGCUUAUCAUAAUUAAGGGCAUCUGGAGCAACCUUCAUUCAGUAAUCGACGCAAAAAGUCAGCGCCUAUUGCGUUAUUAUUAUUUUAAAUCUGGCAAGGUAUACGAGUCAAAAAAUCGUAAUAUUUUUCCAAGCUUGACACAUGCCUAGUGUAUUCACUACAGAAAGUGUGCGUUUGCCAUUCUUAGCACGGUCUGUUGUUUCCUAGUACAAUAAAAUCGAAAGAAACCGGCUAAGGCGAGCGAAAACCAAGGCGUAGGUGAACGCUCCGAUAUGGCGGGUAUGUGGAGUUUCGUUACAGGCUAAAAUACCGAGCUUACGUCUUGGAGCAAGGCUUAGGCAGUGUAGCCACUGUGCACGCAUUUGCACUGUUCAUACACUUAAAAAAAAGAAAGUGCCUCUUAGAGCGGCAUGGUGUCUAUGUACAAGAAGCGAACGAAGAUAGCUUAGCCUAGGCGCCACGUAUAUGAAUCUAGCAAUAUACAGGGUGGGGCAAAAGUCUCUGAAUUGUUGAAGAGCCUUUAUUUCAUAUUUGCUAACUUGGCAUGAGGUACGCAAGUUAUAGCAAUAAAGAUGUGCUGCAUCUUUAAAUUAUUGUAAAUCUAAAGUUAUGUGCCUCAUCCUGUAUAAAAAUUGUCCUUUGUCUAAUGUAUGCACCACUGUCAAACGUUGUUGACUCAUUUUUAGUAAAGGCAUUACCUUUUACCCAACAUAUAGAAAUGGAGACACAAUUAUGAGUUGGUGCUUACAUCUGUGCAGUUGCAGUGCAUAGAUAUUGUAUAAAGAUUACUGGUCUUUUCUAAUGAAAUUGUAGGGUAAGGGAGAACUCAGUCAUUGUUGGAUUGCUGUUAGAUUAACUGCGAAAUGAUGGCCUUGGUGACAAACAACUUUUCCAUAGAAAAGCUGGCCUAAUCAGGCAGAAUGCACCUAGUGCCUUAUUAUAUAUAAAUAUGCUUAUCAUUAUCUUGCAGUAUUGUUGACGAAAUCCAAAGAAACAUGUUACUUCUGUAUUAUAACGGUCGAUGCCUGCUAACCUGUUGUGGGAAAUAUAUAUACUCCACAUUGAUAUUACACAGUUAAAGUUGUUUAGCUGAGAAUGUCUAUUAUUGUUCAAUAAAGAAAGAACAUAGAAGAUAUAA